CAUCCAACCCCCCUUGUCACUACGUGUGGCUCCGCGACCACACUCAGGUCCAAGUGGGGCCCGCCUACACCAUCGCCAGCGCCAGCCGCGCCCACACAGGCCUGUACACCUGCCUGGCCCACAACAGCCGCCUGGACACCCACAGCCAGACCACCGUCAGGCUCACCAUCUACUGUGAGUGUGGGGGAAGGGGCCACCACAGCCCUGUGUUCUGGCAGACUCCAGACGCCCUGUGGAAAGCGGUGUAGACGUCAUAGGGGAGGGAGGUGUGGGAGUCAGGAGGUGGAGAGCAGGGGGACAGGCUGAGAAAGCUGUGGGAAGGGACAGGGAGAGAGGAAGCCCCUGACCCUAUGUCGACCUCAUCCCCAAGUGAUUCUUCCCACGGCCUUGGGGACUGAACUGAGGCACAGAGAAGGGUAGAGAAAUGACCGUGAGGCAAAGCACCCAGUGGCAAAGAAGAGGCAAUGGGGAAACUUCCCCUCUGGGGGCUUCCACGGGCCUCUGGGAUUCCUCAGGGGCUCUGAACUCCCGCUCACCCCGUCAGCUCCUGCCCCUGACCUGAGAGCUCAGCUCUUUGCUCUCCAGCCCCUCAGAGAAAUCGAGUCGUUUCCCUCCCACCCACUUCUCGCUCCUUCUCCUACCCUUGACCCUGUGGCCUCCGGGCCUCUAAACUGGGCCCGGGGGCCACGGUGCCCUGGCAACGGAGUCUGUCCGGCCCCAUCCUCACCCACUUCUCCGCCCAGAUCCCCCUGAGGGGCAGCCCUCCUGUUCUGCGCUCCCCACCCUUGGGGCUGUGACCUUGGUCUGCGCCUGGCAGGGGGGGCUUCCAGCUGCCCGGCUGCGGUGGGAAGGGCCCCGGGGAACUGGCCCUGCUGCUCUCAGCAAUGUCACCUGGAGUCGUGGCACCACCCAGCUCCCUAACGGCGGCGUUUUCACCUGUGCCGGCGAGCACCCAGCCCUGGCGCUGCCUGCCCUCUGCAGGAUCACGCUGUGUGAGUGGACAUAGGACACAGCAGGGCUCGGAUGUUCCAGGCAGAGGCAUGGGUGGGAGCCAGGGGAGAGCCUUAGGGGAGCCCUGGGACCUGGGAUGCGGCUCCAGAUCGCAAACUCCAAGACUUGCCAUGUAGCAAGGAGGUGGGCAGCACUCAGCUCUGACUCUCGCUUCCAACCUCCUCUCCACUCCAGCCGGGCGUCCAGCCACACUGCCCUGUCCUCCGCAGUUUGGGCUUGGAGCCCUGUGACGCCUUCCUGUCUCCCAGCCUCCAGGGUCAGCAGGCUGUCAUUGACCUUACACCAUACUUCUACUGCCCUAUUUCAUGUUGGCCUUGAAAUGUGCCUUUAGCUUUCUCUCCGCUUUGGAGAUUUUUACCCACCCCCCAAGACCAAGUUCAGAUGCCAUCCUAUCUUCAAAGUGCUUCUCCCUAAAGCCCCACAAAGUUUGUCUUUCUACCUGUACUCUAGCAUUCAUCAAAUUAUAUUGUCAUUGUUUGCUUGGUGUCUGUUCUCACUAUUUCUCUGGUACAUGGCCAGCUCUCAAUAAUGAUGAAUGAAUGAACGAGUUACUGAGUCAAUGGAGGAAUGAGUGAGUGAGCAAUAAAUGAAGGAAGGAGGGGUGGGGUGGGGUAGGCCUACCAAGCCCUUCCUCCGCCUGUAGGGCCAGGCUGAGCCAUUAUUCCCUAUCUAGGGGAACCCCUCCGGAGCCCCACCUGCUGGACCACAGCCACAGUUGGAGACCAGUUCAUCAUGCUGAGCUGUGAGUGGCCUGGAGGCGAGCCCCGUGCCAUGCUGAGCUGGCUGGAUGGACAGCAGCAAACCCUGGGCACCACUAGCCCCUCACUGGCCAUCCACCUCCUGCAUACCCAGGACGAUCUGGCUGGCCGAGAGUUCACCUGCAGGGGCAGUCACCCCCUCAGGGUCCCUGACCCCCACUGCCGGCUCCUGCUGGGUGAGUAGGGGCUGGUGGCUUGGUUCUGGGGCGGAGGUGGGAGAGCAGCCCUUUGGAAUUGUGAUGAGGGCCUCUGGGGGGGGGGGGUGGUGUCUGCGCUGGAUGCAAAGUGAGUCAGGAGACUGAGUCACCUCACCUCCCAGAACUCAAGUUGUUUCGAUCCAUAAAGUCAGGGGGUUUGGUCCGGGUCUGUGUUGCCCAAUAAAAAUAGGUGAGCCGUAUAUAUAAUUUAAAAUUUUACAUUUAAAAAAAGUACAAAGAAAUAAGAGAAACAUUUUAUGGAACUCAAUAUAUCCAACAUAUUAUUACUUCGAUGUUUAAUAAUAAACAAUUAUGAAUGAGGUAUCUUAUUCUACUGUCCUCAAAAUCCAGUGUAUUUACUUACAACCCAUCUCAGUGUGGUCUGGCCCCCUUUCAAGUGUGCAACAGUCCCGUGUGACCAGGGGCUACCGCUAUUGGGCAGCACCCUGUCUAGCCGGUGAGGGAAUUCUGUCUCCCUCAUUUGCAUCAAUUUGCAUGAGAGGUGCCUGAUUAUAUUCCUGCCUUGCAUUAGUGUUUCAGGUGUCAGAGGUCUCUCUCUUCCUCUCUCACUGCUUCUAUUUGUUUUGGUCUGGUUUCCUUCUCUGUCCUCAUCUGGCCCUGCCAGUCCUUUUUAUUGCCAGCUCCGCGAAAAAGAGUUAAAUACUGAAGUGAAAAAUGUGAGAAAACACACAGUCACAUGUAGCAGUUCGCACAAAAUGAUUUACAUCUUGGUCUCCAGGGGUUUGGUGACAGCCUCCCUGGGCUCUCAGAAGGCCCUCAUCUGGGAAUAUUUCCCUCCCUUAUUAGUCAGUCUUGGGGUUGGAAAUUCUAUCCUAGGAGAUUCACUGACACCUGAAACUCUGGGUCUUUAGGACUCAGUCCAUAAAAAGCAUCUGCUCUGGGCCCAGCCCAAUGCCCUGGGGGUGGGAGCUGGUGGGCUAUUUAGGGAGGUAUUAGGAGGCCCCAUGCCAGGUACUAGGAGGGAGCUGGUUAACACAGGGGUGACUAAGGCAGGGGCCCCACCUAUAGGAGCUGAGACUAGAGUUGGGGCCUGAAGGCACACUGCUAUUGUCAAGAAAUCUGGAACCAGAUUGUGGCAGGACUCUGGCAUAGAACGGGAUCCUGGAAGAGGCAGCAGACUGGCCCAAGACAAGCUCCACUGCCAACUCCACUGGCCCCGUCUCUCCUCUGUUUCCCCUCCCUAUCCCCUCCACUGCUGGGCUACCCCCAAGCCUUCCCACUAGCCCAGGCACGGGGGACACCUUCCAGCCUCACCCUCUCUGUCCCUGCAGAAGCCCCACAGGUGGCAGUGGCUAAGCCCCAGGUGUCCGUGCUGGAAGGGGGAGAGGCCUGGCUGGGGUGUGCCCUCCUGGGGGGCACGCCACCUGUCCAGCUCCUCUGGCUGGGACCCCAGCGACGGCAAGU
rnacentral:lncRNA from 1 species